rnacentral:tRNA from 1 species
UCGCUCGCUCGAAGACUUCAGAGGCUUCUCGGUCUGUUUCGAUUGGGCUAUUUUGAGUUAAGAGUUUGCCGAGUUCAGGAUCACGAUGAGCGAU